CUGCACUGGAGAGGCUUCAGGGGAGAGGGGCUGCUUGAGUACUAACCCUGGGCUGAGCCCCUACAGCAGCUUGGCUAGUUCCGGUCUCCUGCUGGUGUUUAUGCCUUUCCUGGACCUUGUUAUCAGGCCUCCCACGAUGGACUGAAUAUCUUUUUGGGAGUGACCACGCCUCCACUGGGCUCUUCCGGCAGGAGCGUCACGUGGCCCUGAACAAAGGCGGUGAACUUUAUCCGGCAGUAACCUAAUCUCCUGGAUCGUUUACCAACAACACUCAGAGUGAUCUCCGGGAUUACCUUGGGCUUUGGCCAGCACCAGGGAGACUGGGCUGAACAGAAGUUUCUGGCUCUGUGUGGACCACGUUCUCUCCUAGCGUCAGAGCUUUCCUCAGAGUUCUGUGAGAGCAGUGUUAACUGUGGACAGUCCUGGACUCACAUCACCCCAGUUUGUUGCCUCAGAAGACAAAACUCUCCCAGGAUCUUGAGAUGGAUCGAGAUUGAGAGUCCUGAGUUCAGAGCUCUUAAUGGAACGGGCAAAGUUCUAAGGAGAGAAGCUAUGGAGAUGGGGAAAGGAAACUCAGGUGGAGCAGAGAUGGAGGCACAAGCCAAGGCCUCUUCCUGUUAGGAUCAGUUGGUUAUGGCGGCCCCAGGAGAUGAAUGUAUGAGGACCCAGGUUCAAUUUCCAGCACAAUGUGGCAACUUAAAAGUGUAACUCCAGUCCCAGAGGAGCUGAUGCUUCCUUCUGACCUCAGGGGCCACCGGCAUGAAAGCGUAGGCAAAAGCACCCAUGCACAUAAAAGAGCUCACACCAAAUGAGAGGACUGGAGAGAGGGCCAAGUCUUUUUAAGCCCAAGAAGGAACCUGAAGGUUUCUCUCCCCGGCCAUGAAUGCUGCGCUCCAGGCACUGCUGCAGCACGGACUGCCGAGGAGCUCCGCACAGCAGACACCACCCCCACUUAAGAAUUAAAAGCAUUGUUUUUGAAAAAAAGGAAAUCAACUUUAUUUUCUCUACAUUAAAAAAAAAUAGAACCAGC
ensembl:lncRNA LOC102555670 uncharacterized LOC102555670